rnacentral:rRNA from 1 species
UACGUAGGGUGCGAGCGUUGUCCGGAAUUAUUGGGCGUAAAGAGCUCGUAGGCGGUGUGUCGCGUCGGCCGUGAAAACCUGGGGCUCAACUCUGGGCGUGCGGUCGAUACGGGCAUCACUUGAGUUCGGCAGGGGAGACUGGAAUUCCUGGUGUAGGCGGUGAAAUGCGCAGAUAUCAGGAGGAACACCGGUGGCGAAGGCAGAUCUCUGGGCCGUAACUGACGCUGAGGAGCGAAAGCAUGGGUAGCAAACAGG